rnacentral:rRNA from 1 species
UACGGAGGAUGCGAGCGUUAUCCGGAUUUAUUGGGUUUAAAGGGUGCGUAGGCGGAAUAUCAAGUCAGCGGUAAAAAUUCGGGGCUCAACCCCGUCGUGCCGUUGAAACUGUUUUUCUUGAGUACUGGAGAGGCAGACGGAAUUCCUAGUGUAGCGGUGAAAUGCGUAGAUAUCACGAAGAACUCCGAUUGCGAAGGCAGCUCACUGGACUGCAACUGACACUGAGGCUCGAAAGUGUGGGUAUCAAACAGG